GAUGAAGAACGCAGCGAAAUGCGAUAAGUAAUGUGAAUUGCAGAAUUCAGUGAAUCAUCGAAUCUUUGAACGCACAUUGCGCCCGCCAGUAUUCUGGCGGGCAUGCCUGUUCGAGCGUCAUUUCAACCAUCAAGCCCCCGGGCUUGUGUUGGGGACCUGCGGCUGCCGCAGGCCCUGAAAACCAGUGGCGGGCUCGCUAGUCACUCCGAGCGUAGUAGUUACAUCUCGCUCAGGGCGUGCUGCGGGUUCCGGCCGUUAAAAGCCUUUUACCCCAAGGUUGACCUCGGAUCCGGUAGGAAGACCCGCUGAACUUAAGCAUAUCAAUAAGCGGAGGA
rnacentral:misc_RNA from 1 species